CACGUAGGGUGCGAGCGUUGUCCGGAAUUAUUGGGCGUAAAGAGCUCGUAGGCGGUGUGUCGCGUCGGCCGUGAAAACCUGCAGCUCAACUGUGGGCUUGCGGUCGAUACGGGCAUCACUGGAGUUCGGCAGGGGAGACUGGAAUUCCUGGUGUAGCGGUGAAAUGACGCAGAUAUCAGGAGGAACACCGGUGGCGAAGGCGGGUCUCUGGGCCGAUACUGACGCUGAGGAGCGAAAGCGUGGGGAGCGAACAGG
rnacentral:rRNA from 1 species